GUGCGAUUGAGAGACAAGGGCAGGGGAAGAACCCUUCACCCAAAAAUCAUUCUAAUCUAUCAAAUUGAAGGGGUUGAAAGCUAAAUUCUAGGUGCAUGAGUUAGGAAUUAAGACCUCCUACGUAUGUUUGAUACCAAGCACGAAGAAAGAAGAAGGCACGAGCCAUUCAAAGUCUCAGGCAUCGCAAGAUCACGGUAAGUUCAUAUGAACUUUAUUUACUUUAAAUUUAUAUUUAUGAAUGGUAAUUUUGGUAUUUAAGCCUUAGUGUAAAGUCGCAUUGUUGAUCAUGAUUGAUAUCGAUACGUAGAGUCUUGAGAGAUGUUUAAGAAAUGAUGUAGUGACAGAUGUUUAAUGACCCGUUUUAAAUGGGUCGGAAAUGUUGAUUUGUAUGAUGUCAAAAUGGUUAAAGAAAGGACUCGUUGAUAACGGGUCAAAACGAGGAAAGUGAGUUAGUAAUGUAUGGUAAGAAUCGACCCAUUUCGGACGGGUCGAAAGGUCUAUGCUUGAAUGUUUUCGAUAUGUAAGGAUGAAUGAGUAUAAAGAAAAUUUACGCUUGCAAGGAAAGGAUGAUUACGACAAGAAUGUUGACAAAGUGAUGAAAUUGGUUAAUGGGUCGAAUAAUGAUAAGAAAAUAAAAGCUUAAAUUUUGUUUUAGUAAAUUGAACUGAUGAAUGUUUUGGUGUCAUGCAUGUUACGUAAAUCCCAUAUAUCACGAUGACGAGCUCGGAUCGAACACACUAAAUCGCCCUCUUUGCGCUUCCGGUUCAAGUUAUCUUUUUGUAAUGAGUCAAAAUAACUUUUGUGAUGUAAAUGUUAAUCUUAUGUCUAGGAUGUUCGUAAGUAGUUUGGAUUUUUAAAUCUUAUUUUGGGUAGUUCGGACAAAACACUUGUGAUCAAUCUUGUAUGGUCACAACUUUUAUAUCUUUUGAAAAGUGUCGUCGAAUUUAUUUUGAAUGAUGUUUGUUAAAAGCAGGGAAUCAUUUAUAGUACGAACGGGUCAUGCCCAAUUUUUGUUAAAAAUUAUUAUGUCAUUAUUUUAUUUUUGAAUGUGAAAAAUUGAGCGCUACAAGUUGGUAUCAGAGCCGAGGUUUGAGGGAUUCAAGCAUUAGAGUUAAAAUGCCUGAACUCAAACCGAAAGCUCCGCGUCAGCAACACCAUCGUUUAAGCGUGUGGAACGGUUCUAUUCCCAAUUGUGAAGGCGUGGAAGCCACUGGUGGUGGUGGUUUGUACACCCAAGCGGCGGCGACGAGGUUCGAUGGUCUAAUAGCUCACUGGUCAGCGUCUAAACAUUAGCCGAUUCCAAUGGCAAGCACCAUCGAUGGAUUCUAUGGCUACAAGGAGAUCGUUUUGGGUGUUUGAGUACCUACCCACCGCCUCCGAUGAGAUGAGGCUAGGGUUCCGUCAAAAUCGCAAGCCUUUCAAGAUUCUUGGUGAAAUCGCAUUAAUGGAGUCUGGUAAAGGGUGGAUAAAAUUGGGUAUUUUAAUGCGGGUAAUUUGAGGUUGUGGGGAAAAAGUUGAGUAAAUUGAUGGAUUUAGAUAUUGGGUUUUGACGACCUGAAGAGUGAGGAGAUGAGAGGUGGGUUUAUGGGGUUUUCUUAGAUUGACCUUUUUGGUUGGGCGUGGAGGUUAGAGGUCUAAUCUACAGCUUAAUGUGGUUUUGAUAGGCAAAGAGAGUCAUUUGAUUUUGAAUCUUUGCAAACUUUGCUUCUACUUAUUGUAUCUGUUCAAUAAGGUAAUUUUGAUUGAGGUUGCAUACAAGCUAUCUUAGUUUAAAUUGUUCAA